rnacentral:piRNA from 1 species
UGAAAGCCAGCUUUGCCAAACAUACCU